rnacentral:rRNA from 1 species
UAAUUUUAGAGUUUGAUCCUGGCUCAGAACGAACGCUGGCGGCGUGCCUAACACAUGCAAGUCGAACGCGAAAGCCCUUCGGGGCGAGUAGAGUGGCGAACGGGUGAGUAAUGCAUAGGAACGUACUCACAGGCGGGGGAUAACUGCAGGAAACUGUGGCUAAUACCCCAUAAUCUACGCGUAGUAAAGAUUGCCUCUACUUGUAAGCAAUCGCCUGUGAAUCGGCUUAUGUCCCAUUAGCUUGUUGGUAGGGUAACGGCUUACCAAGGCAACGAUGGGUAGCUGGUCUGAGAGGAUGGUCAGCCACACUGGGACUGAGACACGGCCCAGACUCCUACGGGAGGCAGCAGUGG